UCAGACUGCCUUGCACUCCUUGAGGGCAAGCCUGCCUCUUCCCCAGUCUGAGACACCAGCAGAUAACGCCUGUGGAAAGAACAAGUCAAGGACAAGUGGUCAGGCAAGUGAUUCGCCCUGAUCCUCUAUUUCCUUGGCUAUCAUCUAGCUACUGACAAGAGCACUUUGGAGACUGAAUGACAUGAUGGGUGUGGAAGCAUCCAGAAUGGAGUUUAACAAGAAGCUCAUGCUCAAAAACAGUGUAAUCAGCAGCAAUUAAUUCUAAUCACAAGAAGACAGCAAGAAUGAACAGAGCAUUAAUUGGACAGAAGUAAUCAGAAUCUCCCUUAGCUCACAGUUGGUACUUGUAUGCAGGAGGACGUGAGCAGCCACAUGCAUGUAUACACACACAGUCUACAGGCCGUCAAAGAUUCAUUGAGAAGUCAGUAGAUGGGAGAAGCUCUUGGCCCUUGCUGGUGGCUUCUUUCUUGAUUGGGGAAUAAAGUAUGGACUUCACAAAGCUUCCAGAAUCAUCAGAAUCAGAACUUCAAGGGAAGUUCCCACUGGUAAACUAGUACCCACUGGUAAACUAGCU
rnacentral:lncRNA from 1 species